rnacentral:rRNA from 1 species
UGGGCAACCUGCCCCUCUCUCUGGGAUAACCCCCGGGGAAACCGGAGCUAAUACCGGAUACUCUCGGCCGAUCACAUGGCUGGCCGAGGAAAGGUCCGCCGGUCAGGGAUGGGCCCGCGGCCUAUCAGCUUGUUGGCGAGGUAACGGCUCACCAAGGCGACGACGGGUAGCUGGUCUGAGAGGACGACCAGCCACACUGGAACUGAGAUACGAUCCAGACUCCGUACGGGAGCA